rnacentral:rRNA from 1 species
AUUGAACGCUGGCGGCAGGCCUAACACAUGCAAGUCGAGCGGAUGAAGGGAGCUUGCUCCUGGAUUCAGCGGCGGACGGGUGAGUAAUGCCUAGGAAUCUGCCUGGUAGUGGGGGAUAACGUCCGGAAACGGGCGCUAAUACCUCAUACGUCCUGAGGGAGAAAGUGGGGGAUCUUCGGACCUCACGCUAUCAGAUGAGCCUAGGUCGGAUUAGCUAGCUGGUGGGGUAAAGGCCUACCAAGGCGACGAUCCGUAACUGGUCUGAGAGGAUGAUCAGUCACACUGGAACUGAGACACGGUCCAGACGCCUACGGGAGGCAGCAGUGGGGAAUAUUGAACAAUGGGCGAAAGCCUGAUCCAGCCAUGCCGCGUGUGUGAAGAAGGUCUUCGGAUUGUAAAGCACUUUAAGUUGGGAGGAAGGGCAGUAAGUUAAUACCUUGCUGUUUUGACGUUACCAACAGAAUAAGCACCGGCUAACUACGUG